rnacentral:lncRNA from 1 species
UCGAGCUCGGCUAUGGAGGCGGCCACGACUUUGGCGGCGGUUUUGAAGGAGGACACAGUUUUGGAGGAGGCUUUGGAGGAGGCGACCUUGGAGGCGGCCACGACUUUGGUGGCUUCGAUUUAGGAGACGUAUUUGGGGGUGGUGAAGGUGGGGGGCACGGGGGUAGUAGUGGAGGUGGCUCGGGGGGCUGGCAAGGUCACGAGCAUCACCAAAAGACUGUUACGAUAGUCAAGAAGGUGCCUGCGCCGUAUCCAGUGGAAAAAACCAUCCACGUACCCGUGGAGAAGAAGGUACCCUAUCCGGUGAAAGUGCCCUACCCGCAACCCUAUCCCGUGGAAAAAAAGGUGCCGUAUCCAGUCAAAGUACCCGUCCACGU